rnacentral:rRNA from 1 species
UUCCGGUUGAUCCUGCCGGAGNCCAUUGCUAUUGGGAUCCGAUUUAGCCAUGCUAGUCGUACGAGUUCAGACUCGUGGCGAAUAGCUCAGUAACACGUGGCCAAACUACCCUUCGGACCGCAAUACCCUCGGGAAACUGAGGCUAAUAGCGGACACCACACGCAGACUGGAAUGUCGCGUGUGUCAAACGCUCCGGCGCCGAAGGAUGUGGCUGCGGCCGAUUAGGUAGACGGUGGGGUAACGGCCCACCGUGCCAAUAAUCGGUACGGGUCAUGAGAGUGAGAACCCGGAGACGGAAUCUGAGACAAGAUUCCGGGCCCUACGGGGCGCAGCAGGCGCGAAACCUUUACACUGCACGCCAGUGCGAUAAGGGGAUCCCAAGUGCGUAGGCAUAGAGCCUACGCUUUUGUCCACCCUAGGGUGGUGGACGAAUAAGGGCUGGGCAAGACCGGUGCCAGCCGCCGCGGUAAUACCGGCAGCCCGAGUGAUGGCCGAUCUUAUUGGGCCUAAAGCGUCCGUAGCUGGCCGCACAAGUCCAUCGGGAAAUCCACCUGCUCAACAGGUGGGCGUCCGGUGGAAACUGUGUGGCUUGGGACCGGAAGGCGCGACGGGUACGUCUGGGGUAGGAGUGAAAUCCUGUAAUCCUGGACGGACCGCCGAUGGCGAAAGCACGUCGCGAAGACGGAUCCGACAGUGAGGGACGAAAGCUAGGGUCUCGAACCGGAUUAGAUACCCGGGUAGUCCUAGCCGUAAACACUGCCUGCUAGGUGUGGCACCCACUACGAGUGGGUGCUGUGCCGUAGGGAAGCCGCUAAGCAGGCCGCCUGGGAAGUACGUCCGCAAGGAUGAAACUUAAAGGAAUUGGCGGGGGAGCACUACAACCGGAGGAGCCUGCGGUUUAAUUGGAUUCAACGCCGG